GCUCAGUUGGUUAAGUGUCUGACUCUUGACUUCAGAUUAGGUCAUGAUCUCAGAAUCGUGGGAUCGAGCCCUACAUUGGGCU
rnacentral:tRNA from 1 species